CGGGGACCGCACAAGCGGUGGAGCAUGUGGUUAAUUCGAAGCAACGCGAAGAACCUUACCAGGUCUUGACAUCCCGAUGCUAUUUCGUAGAGAUAGAAAGUACUUCGGUACAUCGGUGACAGGUGGUGCAUGGUUGUCGUCAGCUCGUGUCGUGAGAUGUUGGGUUAAGUCCCGCAACGAGCGCAACCCCUAUUGUUAGUUGCCAUCGUUCAGUUGGGCACUCUAGCGAGACUGCCGGUAAUAAACCGGAGGAAGGUGGGGAUGACGUCAAAUCAUCAUGCCCCUUAUGACCUGGGCUACACACGUGCUAUAAUGGUUGGUACAACGAGUUGCGAGUCGGUGACGGCGAGCUAAUCUCUUAAAGCCAAUCUCAGUUCCGGAUUGUAGGCUGCAACUCGCCUACAUGAAGUCGGAAUCGCUAGUAAUCGCGGAUCAGCACGCCGCGGUGAAUACGUUCCCGGGCCUU
rnacentral:rRNA from 1 species